CGGCAGACUAACUGCUGUACCAAGUUUGUCCUCCUGUUCUCACCGUAGCUCCUCUCCUAUCGGUCACGCCCUCCAGUUAGCUUGCAGGUGGCUAUGUACUCAUUAGCGUCAAUGGCACUUUCUAUAAGACCGGCACCGGAGGUGGGCUAGUAAGUGAUCCCUAGGCUCCGUACGUCCUCCCUACACUGUGUUCGCUGUGCUGUCACCUAUGAAAGGUAUUUGGCUGUGUACCAGACGCUUCCGGGUAGUGUUUUGUUGAUCUACCGAAGGUCUUGACUGAAAAGACGCCGUGUACGCGCAGGUUGCACUUUCUAUUGGGAGAUGCGUUAAGGUAACAUUGGCUGUAUAUCUCAGUAAGGUUUGCCAUGUAAUAUGUGUGUGUGCAUGUGUACAUAUGUAUGUUUAUAUGCAUGUUUACAGUAACUGGAUCUACUAUAAUGUGUCAUGUUUCGCUGUAAGUCCUUGUGAUUUAACUAGCCAAUAACCUUUUAUUAUGUUGUAUGUGAGCGAUGCUUGUGUGUGAUUUUAUGUAGGUUUGCGUACUGGAGAGAUACCAGGGAGUCCCAUUUCCAUUCAUGUUGAGUGCUGUAUUCCUAGAGGUAAAAGGAAACCGUGUUGUAUUGUAUCUGUAUUGGUUUAGGCUGUAUUUACCAUAAACAAUGGAUUUUAACUGUGUUUGUUUACUCCUUUAGAAAGAUUGCCACUGCUGCUUUGCCUCCUGUAGAUUUAAGUAAUUGUAGCUCUUGCCUCAUUUUGUUUUCUUUAUUUUGUUUUGUUUGUCCGAUUGAUUUGGCCUAAACAUAGGCGUGGCUGGUUUCAUUUAUUUGCCCUCCGUCGUGGUGUGUCGGCAACAGGUGUGGUAUUGGCUGCCCCAGUAUUUUGCUGCGGUAAUGUGUGAUGGUAGUAAUGCUAACAUCUAGCUUUCUUGACCCAGCCAGUUAUUGCCAAUAGCAACCAUAUCUUCCCUUCUCCCCUCCAGAGAAACAGAGUGUUGCAGCUGUUCCGCGGGGCAGGUCGCCGGAUCUGAGUCCUCCUCUUCGUGUACUUCACACAGUAUUUGUAGUGGUAACGUGCACCUCACUAUUUGCAGUGAUCACUCUUUGUAGUACCUGUGCCUAUGCGAGCGUGUGUGUGUGUGUCUGUGAAUAGGCAACAGAAUCCGCAGCACGGGUGGUGUGUCGGUCUCACUCCUCUUCCAGGACAGGUAACCGCUCCCGAACAGCUGAUCAAAUUAACCCUACUUGAUUACAUGUAAUAUUCCUGGUGGCAGCCACUACCUUCCUCUUGCUGGCCUAUUGGGCCUAAUAUGUACUGCACUCCAUCCUGAGAAUCAAACCCAAGACUGACUUUUUAACUGAAUUGCUUGUGAAUAAAUAUUGUUUAUUUUUUCAUUGAAAUACCACGUCUCUGUCAUUACUGGCUUAUCUGUGUGCGAGAGCCCUCUUGUCUAAAUCAAGGUGUUGGAGGUCUAGCUAAAAUACAUCUUGGUGUGAAAGGCCCCAAGUGGCGUAGUCGAGCACUCUAUAGUCAAGACUCUUGUCAUCUGACUCCCGUGGUCACAAUCUGGCGUAGUCGGCAGGAUUAGUAUACAGAGACGUGUAUUUCAUUUG